rnacentral:rRNA from 1 species
CCUACGGGAGGCAGCAGUAGGGAAUUUUCGUCAAUGGGCGCAAGCCUGAACGAGCAAUGCCGCGUGAACGAGGAAGGUCUUCGGAUCGUAAAGUUCUGUUGAAGGGGAAAAAGAGCGGAGAGAGGAAAUGGUCUCCGAUUGAUAUUACCCUUCGAGGAAGUCACGGCUAACUACGUGCCAGCAGCCGCGGUAAUACGUAGGUGGCGAGCGUUAUCCGGAAUGAUUGGGCGUAAAGGGUGCGUAGGCGGCCUGCUAAGUCUGGAGUGAAAGGUACCGGCUCAACCGGUACAAGCUCUGGAAACUGGCGGGCUAGAGAGCAGGAGAGGGCGGUGGAACUCCAUGUGUAGCGGUAAAAUGCGUAGAUAUAUGGAAGAAGACCAGUGGCGAAGGCGGCCGCCUGGCCUGUUACUGACGCUGAGGCACGAAAGCGUGGGGAGCAAAUAGGAUUAGAUACCCGAGUAGUC